GAGCAAAUAAAAUCACCACCAAACUUGGCUGCAGCUUCUUUCUGCUGAGGGGGCAUGGAGGCAGAGUCCAACAAUAUUUUGCCAUGGGAAAACCAGGAACAGUGGAAAGCAGGAACAGAAGACUCCUGUCUCCAGGGCCUUUCCAGAGCUGUGGUAGCAUUUUGUUUGUUACACCCACCGAAGCGAGCGGGCAGCAGAGAAGGGCUCGGUGCCCCGGCAGUCCCAUCCAUUCGCACUCACCUCAGGCUCUCUUCCUGUGACCCGGGCAGGACACUGUCGGGACGAUCCCGUCUCCUCCUGUACAGACCUGAAUGUGACAACUCUUUCAGCUGCAAGGCCGUCAUAUUCCCCUACCUGGAGGAGGGUUGGUUUUUUUUAAAGAUUCUUAUUUACUACAUUAGCCUCUGUUCAGCAUAUACUUAAUGCUUUUGGAUUAAACACGACUCAAGCCAAUAAAAACCAAAAGGACAAUUCUUCACCCACUUUGCUGUACGUUGCAUUAAUCUGAAACACAUCACUUCAUUAAACUUUUAUUUAUCUGCACGAGAAGUUGCUGGGCUAGGGCAGCAACUUUUACUCAAAUGUCCUUGGAAACCAGAGCUGCAUCAAGACAGAGCAUGCAAAUUAAAGGAAUAUAGCAAGUCCAGACACAAAAAUCAGUUGUUAGAAAGAUCAAAUCCAACUAAAUAUAAAGGAAGGCAAGAUAGAUUUUUAAAGUAAAACUAGUGACUCAGCUCCAUAGCUCAUGUCACAGGCCUCUUCAGCAAACUCCAACAUGGAUCCACACUGAUAAAGAAAAAACUUCCUUGGAGAGCUUCUGAUCAAGCUAAAAGCUUUCUACAAGAAGAAACACAAACUGGACUAGUAGCACUGUGGGAUUGCCCAUGAAUCCUCACAAGAAACGAGGUUUCAAAUCUGAAUUAACCCAAGCAGUCAAACUUUAGGUUCUGAGUAUCAAAUACAAGUUAUAAGGGUGUUUUUUGCAGAGACAUUGCAGAACACAAAUGUUAUUUCUUGACUAACUCACUUAAAUGCUUCCAAAAGGAACUUGGACAGACGUGGCUCUCCAAGAAGAGCUUUCCCAGAGAGUGCCUCCUGUUCCCCACACCCCUUUUUACCUUCUAGCCCCUAUCUGCUGUUUAUAAUUCCUUUUUUGAAAGAUUACAUUCUUCUCAUGUGGGAUGGGGCCACUUGGACCUUUCACAUUCCAUCAGAAUUUUUGAGGACCAGCCAAGUUACCACAGCUUUUCUCAUUACCAGUAAUGCACAGCCUUCUUGUAUAUCCUGUACUUUGAAGGUUUUCUCUUCAUUUUCCAGUGGGUGAUUCUUCUCUGAUGCAAUUGACCAUCCUCCUGCCCCCAGAGAAAGCCAACAUUGCUACUGUGAUGUGAUGUGACAGAUAACCAUUGUGGUACCUGUCUUUCAGCAGAGGAAAAUAUUCCCCCAUGUCUAACCAGCACAAAGUAUGCAGUCCUUCGUUCAUCACAAGCAGUAAAUAACUUUUUAUUAUGUGGGACAAGGCUCAUGGCUGAGUUUUCACAGCAGUCCUACAGAGUACUGUCUUGAUACUCCAGGCCUCCAGUGCUCCCCCUAAAAUUUCUGUAGAAGUACUGCUGUUCUGGUGACUCUAGGUAUUCAGCAGAAUUUUCCAGUUUAAAAAUCUUUUAAGAUAUACAGGUUAUGCCUGGCUACUUUAUACUACAUUCAAAGGGAUACGAACAUCAAUUCAUGAUGCUGUAAAACAUGUAAUUGAAUUCAGAAACAACAAUAAAUGUCAAGUGCUACAAAUUCAGGACAUUUCUUCAUAAGCCUAUAUUUACAGAGAAUAUACAUUAGCUAUAGAAACCAAAAAAGAUGAAGUUUUAGGUCUCUUAUUCCACACAGAAAAGUCAAUGUGUGUCAUCUGUUAUUCCCUCCAGUGGCAUGUUCUUUUUUUGGUUUUUUUUUCAACCUUUGAAAAACCUACCAAAUCUCAAUUAAAUUUAGUUGAAGAUUUUCAAAUCGAUAGAAAAAAUUGCUUUCAUGGCAGCACAGUCAGUCAAAACAAUAAUCAGAAGAGUAUUCUAAUACCACAGGAAUGCCUGUAGUGUGCUCACAGUUACAAGGUGGCUGUGUGUUCAAAUAAGCACAUUCCUCCAUCCUGUUUAUCACUGGAAUCAGUUUCCAGAGGAAUGUGUACAGGAAUGACUGUUUUCUACUGUUUCUCACAAGAUCUGGAAGAAAGCACAUAUUGAAGUGAAGGAAAAGGCUUAUACAUCAGCGAAGGACUUGCUGCAGAAAAUGAAGGAAGGUGGCAACAACCCUUCUGGCAGUUUUGCAAGAAUCUCCAAAGCACCCAAAUGAUGCGCUGAUGCCAACAAAGCUUCACAGCUUUCUGGACCUGCAGAAUGAGUUCCCACAGAUGGGUUUGGGUGCCAAGGAAUA